GAAAACCGUUAACUGACAACAGCUCCUGACUGGCCAAAGUUCCAAGGGAGGCAGUUGGAGUGGGAGUCGGUGUUAGAGACCCAUGGGGUCUGUGAGGGAGAAAUCGGAGGAUGGAGUGAUGGUCAUGAAGGAUAAGAAGGAAACAUUAGUGAAGAUGAGAUCACUAUAUGUUCAACCAAGCGACCUGGGGAUGGAGGCCACCACUGCCGAUAUGGAGGGUGUCUGUGGAUCUUUCGACACGUCCCCCUGCUGAGUCACUUGGCUGAGCAACUAUUUAUCUAUAGUUCAAAGAAAAGAGAUCGUUGGUGUAAAUUGUGUUUUCCGAAAAAUGAAAAUUUCUUCAUCUUGCCUGUAAAGUAUAUCUCUUCUUCUUUCCGCAGUCUGCUUCUUUUGCUAUCCCUUAAGGUUUAGACACAUAGGGAACCAGGUCAUGAUUAGAUUAAUUUUUAAAAAUUGUCCUCAGGGCCCCCUUAGCUGCUUUGAGGGAAAUGGCUUGCCUUCUCCCUUGUGGGCAUCAUCACAAGAAGGGCAUCUCCCAGUUUUGGAGGGUCCUUUGACAAAAUGCCCUCCUCUGUGGGUUGAACUGUUUGCUGCACUCUCCAUGAGAGGUUUCUGAAAGUAGGUUCAGCUGCCCGGUUCCCCAAAUUUAGCACAGAGACAUAGAGUAUCAACAAAGUAUCUAGAACCCAUUUCCUGACUAUUUUCCCUCUUCUUCCCUAGAUUCGAGAGCUGCUGGCCUCCUGUUGCCGUUCCCUCAAAAUCCAUCCCCUUGUCUGUUUGGAGGAAGAAAGUGUGAUGGUCGAUGGAAGAAAGAUUAAAGUAAGAACGAUUUAUGUAAGACUGAGAGACCAGGGGAUGGAUACCACCAGUGCAUAUACCAAUGGUGAGUGUUGAGCUUUGUUCAUGAAGAACAGAGAGGCCAGAGAGAGUCUGGCUUGCCAGGGCGGGGGGAGGCAGCUCCCUGAUUUAAGAAGAGUUCAGGGAUAGGAUGAGGAAGGGAGGAAGGUAAAAUAACAUAAGCCACCUGGUGAUCCUUCCAGGAAAGAUCGGUUAUCAACGUUAUAAUAGAUGAAAAAAUUAAGAAUCUUUUCUCUUCCUUUCUCUUCCAGGCAGUGACAGAAGUGAGACUAGCAGCUCCAGCACAGCUCUCUCUCCCCUCCAAGACCCAGUUCCCCCGUC